AUAAGGUUAAGUUAAUAAGGGCGCACGGUGGAUGCCUUGGCACUAGAAGCCGAAGAAGGACGUGACUAACGACGAAAUGCUUUGGGGAGCUGUAAGUAAGCGCUGAUCCAGAGAUGUCCGAAUGGGGGAACCCACUAGUUAAUGACUAGUAUCCAUAUCUGUUAAGGAUAUGAGAAGGAAGACGCAGUGAACUGAAACAUCUAAGUAGCUGCAGGAAGAGAAAGCAAAAGCGAUUGCCUUAGUAGCGGCGAGCGAAACGGCAGGAGGGCAAACCGAAGUGUUUACACUUCGGGGUUGUAGGACUGCGAUAUAGGAUUAAUCAUUAUAGAAGAAUUACCUGGGAAGGUAAGCCAAAGAGAGUAACAGCCUCGUAUUUAAAAUGAUAGAUUAACCUUAGCAGUAUCCUGAGUACGGCGAGACACGCGAAAUCUCGUCGGAAUCUGGGAGGACCAUCUCCCAACCCUAAAUACUCUCUAGUGACCGAUAGUGAACCAGUACCGUGAGGGAAAGGUGAAAAGCACCCCGGGAGGGGAGUGAAAUAGAACCUGAAACCGUGUGCCUACAACAAGUUCGAGCCCGUUAAUGGGUGAGAGCGUGCCUUUUGUAGAAUGAACCGGCGAGUUACGAUAUGAUGCGAGGUUAAGUUGAAGAGA
rnacentral:rRNA from 1 species